UAAGAGCUUGUAGAACUGCUAUAAUAACAACACGAAGUCAGUUAAUUCCAAAAACGCAAACUUUCAGUGAGUAACUUAUGAGGGUAAAAGUUUUUACCAGCGGUGAAAUUUCGAAAGGAAGAGAAUUGAGACCCGGGACCACCAAGCUAGGAUGAAGACAAAAUCUCCAGGCAUCCUCCGUACGAAGGCUCCACUACACAGCAGAAAACGCAACAGAGGAAAGAGAGGGGUCCUGUAUAAAAGGCGAUUACUAUUCACGAAACCCUAAUUUUUUGAGGAGAGCGGCCACUGUUCACGAAAAGAAGAUCAGCCAAAAAACCCUAGGAACAAUAUUUGGAGACGGAGAGGAGAACACAAAAAACCCUAACGAAAAGAAAGAGGAGAAAUUCACCUUGACGCCGUUUGGACCAAGCUGAUACUGAAGCUAGAGCCGGCGAACGAGCACGCGUCCGAAUUCGAAACGACGGGAGAGAGAGCCUUUUGAAGAAGAACGUUCUAACAUCUGUCGGUGAUCUCUUCGUGAAGAGGUAAGCAUAGGUUUCAUUCUGGCUUUGGUUUUACUUUCUUCUGAAUUUCUACUUCAUCAUCGCCCUCACUGUGUAUGUUGUUGGAUUUUUUUUACUCGUGUCUGUUUCUUCACGUUCAAAUCACUUCCCUGAUUCUCCUUGGGACCAUUUGUUUCUACUUGAGGGAAGGAGGCGAUUUUUGGUUUUGGUCAAUGUUUCUUUGUUUUUAAAACGUUACUUUUAAUUAAUCUUGAAUGUAAUUGAAAACCCAUUGUUGGAAAAUACAUCGCGUGGUUAAAGUGGUUGAAGACCUUUCAUU
rnacentral:lncRNA from 1 species